UUGGGCUAUGUGUUUGUAGUGACAAUCGAAUAGAGAGUCUCUGAAAUUCUGGGCAAUUCCUUUACAUAAAAUAAUUUUGAAAUACUGGAUAAACUUUAUUUUGAAGGAGAUGAUAUUCAUCAUCUAUGUAUAUAUGUAUACAUGCAAGUAGCAUGUAUCUCUCAUCUGUAUCCAUCUAUCAUCUAUUAUUAAUCUAUUUAUCUCUCUAUUCUUUUUAUUCAGUAGUUAGCUGUGGUGUACUUGACCUUAGGAAUUUUCUGUUUUCCCUCCAAUAUGGUCAAGGCCUACUUCUUCAAACCUUUCUAGAUCUGGGUAUGUGGUUCAGUGUUUGGUUUUCAAAAGUCUUCUCCAUAAAUAAAGUCAAGUAAAUCUAAGUAAAUGAAAGGAAUUCUUAAGUCAACAGAUCUGGAAUUAGUAGAUGUUAAUGGUCAAUAGUGAUUGCCUAACACAUGAAUAAAACAAGAGAUUUGAAUGGAUGCUAUCAACAAGCUGAGAAUGAAUCAAAAUUUACCAGACUGCAAUCUGAAAUUUGUGAGGUUUCACCAAUAUCUUUAUUAUUUCAGUUGAUCUUAAGUGAGUAGAAAAAUAUACUAGAAGUCUUACAUUGUGACUGCUUUUCCCUAUGUUCCUUUUGCUGUUAAUGAUCUUUAUUCUAAUCAAUAAGAACUCCCUUAACAUUUAAAUUAUAAUUUCAUAGGGCAUCAACAAUUUCUAUCUUGGAUGCUAAACAGGCAUCCUUUAUUUUUUCCUAAAGUGCUCUAUGAUUACAUUUUUCUAUUUUUAAGGAAUAAACAUGUAAAUAAACGAGAAGUUAAUGUUAGUUGAGGUCAUAGAAAGUUCUUGUGCUAAAUUGGAAGAAUAAAGAGGACAUUUCCCAAAGUACUUUAUCCUCACAUUCUGUGACUGUGAUUAUUGACUGAUCUAUCUCCAUUAUUGUUAAUAAAUAAUGAAGGGACUAUGCUUACAUUUUAGAAAUAAGGAUUUCCCAAUAUUUGAAGUUGUUCUGUGCUUUACUGCUUGUUUGGGUUUGCAGAAAUAGAGUAGACCUCUAUCUAAAUGUGCUAUUUGGCAAAUGUUUAUUAUAGUACAGAUUUAAAUUAAUUUCAUUUGCAUGUAAUGACAUUAUUGGAGAUUUCCUCAUGAGUUAUACAGUGCAAUACAGAAUGCUGUUUAGGAAUCAUUAGCUCAGGAAGGAGAAGAGAUAACAAGUUAUGAAACUAGUAUUAUUCAAAUUAGAUUUUCUUUCAAAAAUUCGUAAAUGGAAAAGAAAGAGUCUAGUGUAAAAGUUGAAAAAUAAAGCACUUGGCCAUUUCUUAAACCUUAUCCCUGAAUAUUUAUGUUAUUUAAUUUUGAACUUCCUUUAUCUUCAGCUUCCAUGCAUGUCAACAUUUUUUGGAUGGCAACUUUAUGUCAGUUAUUAGAGACAUGAAGAUAUUAAAGAAGAAAGAUAAAUUGUUUUCUUUAAACAAUGGAUUGUUGGACAGUAGUUAAAGAACUAAAUCCAUGUGAAUUAAGAAAUAAAUCUAAAAGGAAGUAAAUCACAAAAUAAUGGAACAAUAUGCUACCAUUAUGCAAAAUUUUAACACAUAAAAACAAGAGUAUAUGCUGUUUAUGAAUUAUACAUAUAUGGAGAGAAAGUGUGGACAUCUAUUUGGAAGUAUAGAGAAGGAAAUUAUAAAAGUAAGAGGUUGUCCAAUUACAAAAUACUUAGUAAGGCCCAGAAUGGAAUUCAGACAAUACCCUGAGGUUCACAGAGUUACCGAAGGGUUUUAAGUAUUUGAGGAAAGAUGCAGGGCCAUGGUUGGCAUGAUUACAUAAACGUUUUAGAAAGAUCACUUGUGCUUCUGUGCGAGGAAGAAGGAAUUGGACAGGGAUAAGAUUUGUAAAACAGAGACCAGUCAGGAUGCAGUGGUACUAAUCCAGGUGAGAGAGGAUUGUGGCCUGAAACAGGGUAGUUCAGUGAGAAGGAAGAAAGACAGUUGGCAAAUUUGAAAUACAUUAGAGAUUUGAUAGCAAGGAACUUGAUCAACUUGAUUUGGUGGGUGUGAGGGGUAAGAAGAAUGUUUCCAGCUACCUAUGAUGGGAUCAAUCUAAAUCCGACUGUUUACCAGAAAUACAGAGGAUGACAGUAUGUGUUAUAUCACACCGGGGAGAUGUAAAAUUGGCCAAAUUCGGACUGUAAUCCGUAGACCACUCCACACAAAAAAAUCUCCCAAGGUCUUUGAUGAAUAUUCUGCUAGGUGGGAAAAUGAUGGGGAUGGAAGGAGGAAUUUAUAGAAUAGUGGUUUUCAGCUGCAGGUGAUUUUGCCCUCCAUGGGACAUUGGACAGUUUGGAGAUAUUUUUGGUUACUACAAUUUAGGAAAUGCUACUGGAAUCAAGAUAAAGGGCUAGGAUGAUGCUAAACAUCCAAUUACCUAGGACGGUCUCCUAUAGUAAUCAUCAGCCCCAAGUAUCAGUUGUGCUGGUGUUAAAAAACUCUGCUAUCACAUGAUUACCAGGAAAGACAUAUCAACCAAAUGCAAUUUAUGGCCCUUCACAGUGUAUUAAACUAUGUUUAAAUAAUUAACAUUUACUAACAUACGUCUGAAUACUGACUGGAUAUUUGAUAAUACUAAGACAUAGUUAUAUUUUAGAUGUGAUAAUGGCAUUAUUAUAGUUUUUAAAAAGUCCUUGUUUAUAAGAAGUAUAUAUUAAAUACUUAUGAAUAAAAUUAUAUAGUAUCUAAGUUUUGCUUCAAAAUAAUAUGGAAGAAGAUCAUAAAUAGAUGGGGACUAGGAUGUUUAUUAGGAUUGGAUGAGGGUAUGUGGAGACUUGUUACACUAUUUACAUUUGUGUAUGUUUAAAAAUGUGUAUCAUAAAAAUAAAUGACUCCCGUUUUCUACUUUUCAUGAUCUCAUUCACUAAAUGAAACAAAGAAGUUAAAUCAUUAAAUAUUUAUCUUUUCCUCCUCUUUCUCCUCAUCCUCCUCUCCUUUUUCUUUUUUCUUUUUCUUUGCAGUUGAUUUAAUGGUAUAGAUACUUUAUUAAAGAAGGGUUGAUUGCCUGUGACAAUUUCUGUUGUAUGUAAAGCAACUCUGUCACAUAUAUAUGUAUAUAUAUGCUGUAUGUAAAGUGACUCUGUCAUAUAUAUAUGUAUGCAGUUGAUUUAAUGGUUUAGAUACUUUAUUAAAGAAGGGUUGAAUUGCCUGUGACAAUUUCUGCUAUAUGUAAAGUGACUGUCAUAUAUAUAUGAAUAUAUAUGCUGUAUAUAAAGUGACUCUGUCGUAUACAUAUGUAUAUAUAUACUGUAUGUGAAGUGACUGUCAUAUAUAUGUAUGUAUAUGCAAUAAGCUUUGCUAGGAUAUUUAAAAUUUUUCUUCAUAUCAUUAAGCACUUUAAAUAAUGCUUCAUAACACAUAUUGUACAGAUAUUAUCAUUUACUUAUUUUUGUUUAAAAUUAACAUAAUAAAAUAAUUACGUGUAUGUGCAUGAAUCUUAUGAGGAGCUCUAAUUAUUUGCUGAAGACAAAUUCUUAAUGUGGAGUUACUGAAUUAAAGAUACUAAAGCUUAUCAAGUUAUUAGUACAGCCUACAGUCAAAUUUCUGUCCCAGUUUACAUUCUCAAACCAUUGUGUCAAGUAAAUAUUUUGUUAAUUCUUAUCUCUAGUUGCUGUCAUUUUAUGAACUAUUUCAUAAUGAAUGAAGUAUAAUAAUAUUAUAUUUUAAUUUGUAUUAUUUGGUUUCUUGAUAUGAUUACUUUUUCAUAUAUUUAUUAAUCAUUUAGUUUUUUUCUCUUGUCUCUGUCAAAUCUAGAUAUUUGUCUUUUAUGUUAAUUUUUUAUUUGUUAACUUAUAUAUUUUAUUUAUUUUAUUUAUAUGAUAUAGUGUGAUAUUUUAUUAUAUGUAAAUAUUUGUCAUUUGGCAUGAUAUUAAGACUAUUCCACUUUGGUUUUUAGGUCUGGGUGUGAUAAAUUUGGCAUGUCAUAAUUAUUGAUAUUAACCAGCUAAAAUAUAUUUUUCUCUUUAAUAAUAUGCUAUUUUUUGCCUUAAAAUUUAUUACUAUCCUAAUAUCAUCUUAUUGUUUUUAUUGUAUUUUAAUAUAGCUAAUUCUAUUUAGCUUUUUUUUUUUUAAGGGUUGCACAAUGCAGCAUAUGGAAGUUCCCAGGGUAGGAGUUGAACUGGAGCUAUAGCUUCCAGGCUAUGCCACAGCCACAGCAACCCAGGAUCCGAGCCGCAUCUGUGACCUCCACCACAGCUCACCACAACACUGGAUCCCUAAAUCAGUGAGUGAGAUCAGUGAGUGAGGCCAGGGAUUGAACCCACAUCCUCAUGGGUACUAGUUGGAUUCCUUUCUGCUGCACCACAAUGGGAACUCCUAUUUAGCUUUAAAUUUACUUAAAUAUAUGCUAUGACCUUUUAAGAAAUAUUCUAGCCCUAAAUAUUAAAUGAUUCAUUGACUUAUGAUACACAGUGUUAUCCUAAAAUACAGUAUGGUAUAUAUAUUAGGAUCUGUUUCUGUGUAUGGCAUUCAAGUUACUUGCCAAAUUGUGUAUCUAUGUUGAUAUAUUUUUAUUAUUAUAUUAUUUACUAACCACCAUAUUUUUAUAUACUAUAUAUUAAAGUGUAUUUUAUACUAUGUAUUUAUAUAUAUAGUAUGCAUUUAUAUAUAAAGUGUUUUAUACUGUAUAUAUGUUUAGAAUAUUUUAACAUUGUCAUUAAAAUUAAAUUUUUUCUAGACUCUUUU
rnacentral:lncRNA from 1 species